rnacentral:rRNA from 1 species
UACGUAGGUGGCAAGCGUUGUCCGGAUUUACUGGGCGUAAAGAGCGCGCAGGCGGUCGUUCAAGUCGCGUGUGAAAGCCCCCGGCUCAACUGGGGAGGGUCACGCGAUACUGAUCGACUCGAAGGCAGGAGAGGGUAGUGGAAUUCCCGGUGUAGUGGUGAAAUGCGUAGAUAUCGGGAGGAACACCAGUGGCGAAGGCGACUACCUGGCCUGUUCUUGACGCUGAGGCGCGAAAGCUAGGGGGGCAAACAGG